rfam:Rhodanobacter sp. B04 NODE_6_length_348124_cov_11.9107_ID_11, whole genome shotgun sequence.
GGCCUGGUGGCAGAGUGGUCAUGCAGCGGCCUGCAAAGCCGCGUACGCCGGUUCGAUUCCGACCUAGGCCU